rnacentral:rRNA from 1 species
UACGUAGGGUGCAAGCGUUAAUCGGAAUUACUGGGCGUAAAGCGUGCGCAGGCGGUUGUGCAAGACAGAUGUGAAAUCCCCGGGCUCAACCUGGGAAUUGCAUUUGUGACUGUACGGCUAGAGUGUGUCAGAGGGGGGUAGAAUUCCACGUGUAGCAGUGAAAUGCGUAGAGAUGUGGAGGAAUACCGAUGGCGAAGGCAGCCCCCGUGGGAUAACG